GCGUCUGUAGCCUAGUUGGUAAAGGCAGAACUCUAGUAUGUGUCUCAGCAUUGAUGAGGUUGUGAGUUUGAAUCUCACCAGACACA
rnacentral:tRNA from 2 species